rnacentral:rRNA from 1 species
UUAAGCGACUAAGCGUACACGGUGGAUGCCCUGGCAGUCAGAGGCGAUGAAGGACGUGCUAAUCUGCGAAAAGCGCCGGCGAGGUGAUAUGAACCUUUGACCCGGCGAUGUCCGAAUGGGGAAACCCAGUGCAAUCCGUUGCACUAUCGUUAACUGAAUACAUAGGUUAACGAGGCGAACCGGGGGAACUGAAACAUCUAAGUACCCCGAGGAAAAGAAAUCAACCGAGAUUCCCCCAGUAGCGGCGAGCGAACGGGGAGCAGCCCGGAGUCUGAAUCAGCUUGUGUGUUAGUGGAACGGUCUGGAAAGUCCGACGGUACAGGGUGAUAGUCCCGUACACGAAAGCACACUUGCUGUGAACUCGAAGAGUAGGGCGGGACACGUGGUAUCCUGUCUGAAUAUGGGGGGACCAUCCUCCAAGGCUAAAUACUCCUGACUGACCGAUAGUGAACCAGUACCGUGAGGGAAAGGCGAAAAGAACCCCGGCGAGGGGAGUGAAAAAGAACCUGAAACCGUGUACGUACAAGCAGUGGGAGCCUCUUUAUGGGGUGACUGCGUACCUUUUGUAUAAUGGGUCAGCGACUUAUAUUCUGUAGCAAGGUUAACCGUAUAGGGGAGCCGAAGGGAAACCGAGUCUUAACUGGGCGUUAAGUUGCAGGGUAUAGACCCGAAACCCGGUGAUCUAGCCAUGGGCAGGUUGAAGGUUGGGUAACACUAACUGGAGGACCGAACCGACUAAUGUUGAAAAAUUAGCGGAUGACCUGUGGCUGGGGGUGAAAGGCCAAUCAAACCGGGAGAUAGCUGGUUCUCCCCGAAAGCUAUUUAGGUAGCGCCUCGUGAACUCAUCUUCGGGGGUAGAGCACUGUUUCGGCUAGGGGGCCAUCCCGGCUUACCAACCCGAUGCAAACUACGAAUACCGAAGAAUGUUAUCACGGGAGACACACGGCGGGUGCUAACGUCCGUCGUGAAGAGGGAAACAACCCAGACCGCCAGCUAAGGUCCCAAAGUCAUGGUUAAGUGGGAAACGAUGUGGGAAGGCACAGACAGCCAGGAUGUUGGCUUAGAAGCAGCCAUCAUUUAAAGAAAGCGUAAUAGCUCACUGGUCGAGUCGGCCUGCGCGGAAGAUGUAACGGGGCUAAACCAUGCACCGAAGCUGCGGCAGCGACGCUUAUGCGUUGUUGGGUAGGGGAGCGUUCUGUAAGCCGUUGAAGGUGUCCUGUGAGGGGUGCUGGAGGUAUCAGAAGUGCGAAUGCUGACAUAAGUAACGAUAAAGCGGGUGAAAAGCCCGCUCGCCGGAAGACCAAGGGUUCCUGUCCAACGUUAAUCGGGGCAGGGUGAGUCGACCCCUAAGGCGAGGCCGAAAGGCGUAGUCGAUGGGAAACAGGUUAAUAUUCCUGUACUUGGUGUUACUGCGAAGGGGGGACGGAGAAGGCUAUGUCAGCCGGGCGACGGUUGUCCCGGUUUAAGCAUGUAGGCGGAGGUUCCAGGUAAAUCCGGUACCUUAUUAACGCUGAGGUGUGAUGACGAGGCACUACGGUGCUGAAGUGAUAAAUGCCCUGCUUCCAGGAAAAGCCUCUAAGCAUCAGGUAACACGAAAUCGUACCCCAAACCGACACAGGUGGUCAGGUAGAGAAUACCAAGGCGCUUGAGAGAACUCGGGUGAAGGAACUAGGCAAAAUGGUGCCGUAACUUCGGGAGAAGGCACGCUGAUAUGUAGGUGAAGUCCCUGCGGACGGAGCUGAAAUCAGUCGAAGAUACCAGCUGGCUGCAACUGUUUAUUAAAAACACAGCACUGUGCAAACACGAAAGUGGACGUAUACGGUGUGACGCCUGCCCGGUGCCGGAAGGUUAAUUGAUGGGGUUAGCGGCAACGCGAAGCUCUUGAUCGAAGCCCCGGUAAACGGCGGCCGUAACUAUAACGGUCCUAAGGUAGCGAAAUUCCUUGUCGGGUAAGUUCCGACCUGCACGAAUGGCGUAAUGAUGGCCAGGCUGUCUCCACCCGAGACUCAGUGAAAUUGAACUCGCUGUGAAGAUGCAGUGUACCCGCGGCAAGACGGAAAGACCCCGUGAACCUUUACUAUAGCUUGACACUGAACACUGGUCCUUGAUGUGUAGGAUAGGUGGGAGGCUUUGAAGCGUGGACGCCAGUCUGCGUGGAGCCAACCUUGAAAUACCACCCUUUAAUGGCUGGUGUUCUAACGUAGACCCGUAAUCCGGGUUGCGGACAGUGUCUGGUGGGUAGUUUGACUGGGGCGGUCUCCUCCCAAAGAGUAACGGAGGAGCACGAAGGUUGGCUAAUCCUGGUCGGACAUCAGGAGGUUAGUGCAAUGGCAUAAGCCAGCUUGACUGCGAGCGUGACGGCGCGAGCAGGUGCGAAAGCAGGUCAUAGUGAUCCGGUGGUUCUGAAUGGAAGGGCCAUCGCUCAACGGAUAAAAGGUACUCCGGGGAUAACAGGCUGAUACCGCCCAAGAGUUCAUAUCGACGGCGGUGUUUGGCACCUCGAUGUCGGCUCAUCACAUCCUGGGGCUGAAGUAGGUCCCAAGGGUAUGGCUGUUCGCCAUUUAAAGUGGUACGCGAGCUGGGUUUAGAACGUCGUGAGACAGUUCGGUCCCUAUCUGCCGUGGGCGCUGGAGAAUUGAGGGGGGCUGCUCCUAGUACGAGAGGACCGGAGUGGACGCAUCACUGGUGUUCGGGUUGUCAUGCCAAUGGCACUGCCCGGUAGCUAAAUGCGGAAGAGAUAAGUGCUGAAAGCAUCUAAGCACGAAACUUGCCCCGAGAUGAGUUCUCCCUGAGACUUUAAGUCUCCUGAAGGAACGUUGAAGACGACGACGUUGAUAGGUCGGGUGUGUAAGCGCAGCGAUGCGUUGAGCUAACCGAUACUAAUGAACCGUGAGGCUUAACCUU